GCACUGAAGCUUCCCGUUGGGGGUGAACACGUGGUCGUCUCCGCCAUUUUGUUUCACUUACAUACGGGCUAUGACAUACAUUUGG